AGCAGCCGCGGUAAUUCCAGCUCCAAUAGCGUAUAUUAAAGUUGUUGCAGUCAAAAAGUUCGUAGUUGAAUUUCGGGGUCAGUAGGUUGGUCGUGCCACCGGUACGUACUGGUCUCACUGAUUCCUCCUUCCUGAUGAGCUGUAAUGCCAUUAAUUUGGUGUUGCAGGGAAUCUGGACUGUUACUUUGAAAAAUUAGAGUGUUUAAAGCAGGCUAACGCUUGAAUACACUAGCAUGGAAUAAUGAAAUAGGACGUUCGAUCCUAUUUUGUUGGUUUCUAGGAUUGACGUAAUGAUUAAUAGGGAUAGUUGGGGGCAUUAGUAUCCAAUUGUCAGAGGUGAAAAUUCUUGGAUUUUAUUGAAGACUAACUACUGCGAAAGCAUUUGCCAAGGAUGUUUUCAUUAAUCAAGAACGAAAGUUAGGGGAUCGAGGACGAU
rnacentral:rRNA from 1 species